rnacentral:rRNA from 1 species
AUGGAGAAAGCCACGGCUAACUACGUGCCAGCAGCCGCGGUAAUACGUAGGUGGCAAGCGUUGUCCGGAAUUAUUGGGCGUAAAGCGCGCGCAGGCGGUCUCUUAACUCUGAUGUGAAAGCCCCCGGCUCAACCGGGGAGGGUCAUUGGAAACUGGGAGACUAGAGUACAGAAGAGGAGAGUGGAAUUCCACGUGUAGCGGUGAAAUGCGUAGAGAUGUGGAGGAACACCAGUGGCGAAGGCGACUCUCUGGUCUGUAACUGACGCUGAGGCGCGAAAGCGUGGGGAGCAAACAGGAUUAGAUACCCUGGUAGUCCACGCCGUAAACGAUGAGUGCUAGGUGUUAGGGGUUUCGACGCCCUUAGUGCCGAAGUUAACACAUUAAGCACUCCGCCUGGGGAGUACGACCGCAAGGUUGAAACUCAAAGGAAUUGACGGGGGCCCGCACAAGCAGUGGAGCAUGUGGUUUAAUUCGAAGCAACGCGAAGAACCUUACCAGGUCUUGACAUCCUUUGACCACCCUAGAGAUAGGGCUUUCCCCUUCGGGGGACAAAGUGACAGGUGGUGCAUGGUUGUCGUCAGCUCGUGUCGUGAGAUGUUGGGUUAAGUCCCGCAACGAGCGCAACCCUUGACCUUAGUUGCCAGCAUUCAGUUGGGCACUCUAAGGUGACUGCCGGUGACAAACCGGAGGAAGGUGGGGAUGACGUCAAAUCAUCAUGCCCCUUAUGACCUGGGCUACACACGUGCUACAAUGGAUGGUACAAAGGGUUGCGAAGCCGCGAGGUGAAGCCAAUCCCAGAAAGCCAUUCUCAGUUCGGAUUGCAGGCUGCAACUCGCCUGCAUGAAGCCGGAAUUGCUAGUAAUCGCGGAUCAGCAUGCCGCGGUGAAUACGUUCCCGGGCCUUGUACACACCGCCCGUCACACCACGAGAGUUUGUAACACCCGAAGUCGGUGGGGUAACCUUUUUGAACCCGCCCCCUAAAGGGGGACAGAAGAUUGGGGUGAAAUCCUAACAAGGUAAC